AGACUUCCACUCGGCUGAGCUGUCUCUGAAGGUGAGGAGGAGAAAUGGCCCAUUGCUGGAGGGUACAUAGAUUUCAGGAGGCAGCCGCCCUGCCAAAGCUUUCUGAGUGACAUUGGCACAGAACAGUGGCUGUCUCCAGGCCAGCAGUUAACAUUUACCCAGGGAGUGGUUUUCUCUGCCUCCAGUCCGAUGGAAUUCAAGGUUUCCACUACCAUGGAAAGAAGCCUAAGCAUCUGAACCAGGGUGGGGAAAAGAGCUCAAGUUCGGAAAAAAGGUGAUAGCAUGUUACAACCACAGAUGAACACCAAGAGCUGAACUCAAUACUCUGCACAAAGUGCCUGGGAAACCAAAGCUUACAGCAUGUUCUCCUGGAGAAAGAGCAGUGCUGUGAAUGUGACAAAAAUACACGCUCUGGGUCUCUUUGAAUUCAAAGAAAGUAUUUCACUAUAUGGCAUUAAAUGCAAAAAUAUGACAUGUGAAAGUACUGAGGUAGUAACAUGAAAGAGAAGGAUAUUUAUGUUUUAAAAUCUCCAACUGUUACACAAAUUACAUUACUUUUUUUCUUUAGGGAUACAAAAUUUGCAUACAGAAGAGGGAAAAUGUUGGGGGGAUAAAAAUAAGGUGGAGUAACACAAUCCUCAGUUCAGAUCUUCCUCGAAGUAUUGAAAGAAACCAGAAGGAAAGCAGAGGCAAAGCUUCCAACACUACUGUAAGUUACUCAGUAAAAGUCUUCAGGAGCACAUGUCUUUGAAGUACCACGGGGAAGGCUCAAUCCUAUUACAGCCCUCCUGAGGAAGUGUUAAUCUUCUAGACAAAGAAACCAAGGCUCACUUUUUAUGAACUGACAUGUACUUCUGAUUGCUUCUGGCUUGGUUUAUUUGUUUCUUUAAGGCUCAUCAAACCUGAUUUUUUUCCUGAACCACUAAACCUGCAGUUCAACUCAAAGGCAAAGGGAAGCUGCUGUGAAAGAUCAGGCCACUUUCUUUUGGGAAGGGAAUAGAUUUGGGAAUUUAUGGGCCCGUAUUCUCCUGUAAUUGAUGAAAUGCCAGCAUUGUGGAAAUCAAUAAAACAGCCUAUCGCCAAAAAUGGCACUAGCAUUGGGAUUGUAUUCUUGAUUUAGAAAUUGCUGGCUAUGUCAAAAAAAAAAAAAAAAAAAAAAAAAAAAAAAAAAAAAAAAAAGCAGAAGACAAAA